GUCAUAUAUAGUCAUGUGUAGUCAUAUACAUGUAGUCAUAUAUAGUCACGUGUAGUCAUAUACAUGUAGUCAUAUAUAGUCACGUGUAGUCAUAUACAUGUAGUCAUAUAUAGUCAUGUGUAGUCAUAUACAUGUAGUCAUAUAUAGUCACGUGUAGUAACUCGUAGUAAUAUAUUGUUAUAUAUAAGCUAUAUAAGUUAUGUGUUUUUUCUGAUGUAUAGUGAUGUUGAUGAUUGUGUUUUUCCAAUUUUUUGUUGGGUAUUAAUUGAUUUAUAAUAUCAAGAUUAAAUUGUGAAUUUUUGUUUUUGGUGUAGA
rnacentral:lncRNA from 1 species